CUGACACGGCCACAACACAAUAAACACAAAAAUAGUUUAAAUAAAAGAUGUAGGCAACAAAAAUGGAUAUCAUUAACAAUAGUUUAUCCUUUACUAGACUCCUAAAAUGACAAAACAGAACACAAUAUAAACCAUAAAAAUGCAGAGCAAUUCCGAUAUAUAUCACUUCGAUACGCCAACAAAACCGCGCUUUUCAAAACGACAAUUCUCAAAAUACUAUUUUCUGAAUGAUUCUGAAUCCGAUUUAUACGCAAGCGAUGUAAGUGAAGAAAGCUUUGAUGAUACAGAGCCACCAAAUAAACCACAUAAGAAAGAACUUCAUAAUCGAUCGAUCCAUGAAAAGUUGUCGAAACCAGUUUUAAAAUCGGAUGACAUAAUUACAAAACAUGAAUCAAACGAAAAGCCCAUACAGCGUAUGGACUGGGAGAACUACCAUCGUCUAAAUGUGAUACAUAAUUUUAUGGAUGAAUUGGAAUGUACUUACCCAUCUAUAUGCACAGUGGGACUCAUAGGAGCCUCUCUCGAAGGAAGAGAUUUAAAGAUCCUUAAGAUAUCGAACAGUGUUGCUAGUAAUGCUGCAGUAUGGAUGGAUGCUGGAAUACAUGCCAGGGAGUGGGUAGCACCCGCAGUAAACACAUACAUCGCUAAUCAUAUCGCAGAAAACUUUAAUACAUUGCCAGAAUAUCUUACCAAUAAGGACUGGUACUUUCUUCCAGUGGUCAAUCCUGAUGGUUAUGAAUAUUCGCACACAGUUAAUCGGAUGUGGAGAAAAAAUAGAGCCUGGCAUGGGGGUCAAUGCUUGGGUGUCGAUUUGAACAGAAACUUUAGUUACGGCUGGGGUGGUAGCGGUUCUUCGGAUAAUCCAAAACAUGCUUUUUAUCGCGGACCAGAGCCUUUCUCGGAGCCAGAGUCAUCAGCUAUGAGGGAUUUUCUGUCGAAAAGUGGUAUUUCUUUCAAAGUCUACAUAACAUUACAUAGUUAUGGACAAAUUAUUCUGUUCCCUUUUGCGUUUAGAGAUGAGCUGUGCCCGGACUAUGUUAAAUUACUUGAGGGGGCUGCUGUAAUGUCUAAGACGAUUUACGAAACCAAUGGGAACACCUACAAAGUAGGUAUAUCAAGGGAUGUUAUGUAUGGGGCGGCUGGUACUAGUAAUGAUUGGAGCUACGGAGCAGCUGGAAUCCCUUACUGCUAUCUCAUUGAGCUGCGAAGCAAGAAACAUAAGUUCAAACUACCCAAAGAAGAGAUACAGGAGACGGGAAAUGAAAUACUGAAUUCUGUGAUGGCGUUGAUGGAGUUUAUUGAUGAGAAGGAACGGGUGAAGGAUCGACAGGACAUAAACAGGACAUAAACGUUGUCAUAAAUUAAAUCAGAACAAACAACAAAUCAUUUUCAAAAUUGCAAGUAUAUUAAAAACUUCAUAAAAAUACUAUUAAACACGACAGUUUCAACAAAAAUCACAGUGGCACUACUCAACUCCAAGACCCAAGUCUGGGAAAUAAGAUUUACGAAUGAGGGACAGAGAUUGUUUAUGAAAACAUUAGACACAGCAGGAGCAAUUAACAUUUGGAAAGAAGAGCAUAGCACUAUGGAUGUGAUGGUGGAACGGCCUAGAGCGGCUCAAGUCGCGGGCAUGUUGCAUGAAAGGGAGAUUCCAUAUGCAAUCGCUGUAGGAGAUGUGAAUU